UACGUAGGUCCCGAGCGUUGUCCGGAUUUAUUGGGCGUAAAGCGAGCGCAGGUGGUUUAUUAAGUCUGGUGUAAAAGGCAGUGGCUCAACCAUUGUAUGCAUUGGAAACUGGUAGACUUGAGUGCAGGAGAGGAGAGUGGAAUUCCAUGUGUAGCGGUGAAAUGCGUAGAUAUAUGGAGGAACACCGGUGGCGAAAACGGCUCUCUGGCCUGUAACUGACACUGAGGCUCGAAAGCGUGGGGAGCAAACAGG
rnacentral:rRNA from 1 species